rnacentral:SRP_RNA from 1 species
AGAGGCUGGCGGCGGACGGAUUCCUCGCCAACCGGGUCAGGUCCGGAAGGAAGCAGCCCUAACGAGUUUUGUCCGGGUCGCCCGUCCAGUCUCUCAC